rnacentral:rRNA from 1 species
UACGGAGGGUGCGAGCGUUGUCCGGAAUCACUGGGCGUAAAGGGCGCGUAGGCGGCCUGAUAAGUAGGGGGUGAAAUCCUGCGGCUUAACCGCAGGGCUGCCUUCUAAACUGUCAGGCUAGAGCACAGUAGAGGCAGGUGGAAUUCCCGGUGUAGCGGUGGAAUGCGUAGAGAUCGGGAAGAACAUCAGUGGCGAAGGCGGCCUGCCGGGCUGUUGCUGACGCUGAGGCGCGACAGCGUGGGGAGCAAACAGG